GCUUACAGCCGCUUCCCACAAGCCCCCGGCGCGCACGGCUUCCGGUCUGCAGGACGGGGGGCGGGAGGGAAUGGGGGAGCCGAAGCCCGGAGUUGCCAUGGGGACGCGCGGAAAGGACCUCCGCAAAGUGUCCCCAGCCUCUGCUGGGUUAGCGAAUGAGAGAGCAGUAAACAAGCAGCUGCCAGAACUGAGAGAGCAGUAAACAAGCAGCUGCCAGAACAGCGAGACUUCCCGUUCCAGCCAGAGCUCACCUUCCCAUAACCCCUGCAACUUUUCUCUCCUCACAGUGAGGUUUUAAUACAGUCUUUUUACCCUCGGCUUUGGCUAUAGCCAGACUGUUUUCUGCAACCUUUUCUCUAUUGUGACUCCUAAGAACUAACUCAAAACACGCUUAGUGUUUCUUUUGGAGAUUGUAUAGCAAAUUAAUACUGAAAAACAAAAAUAAUAAAUAUACUCAAGUAAAAAUGUGA